CCUUUUAGUAACGAAGCUAACGCGUGAAGUCGACCGCCUGGGGAGUACGGCCGCAAGGUUAAAACUCAAAGGAAUUGACGGGGACCCGCACAAGCGGUGGAUGAUGUGGAUUAAUUCGAUGCAACGCGAAAAACCUUACCUACCCUUGACAUGCCAGGAACUUGCCAGAGAUGGCUUGGUGCUCGAAAGAGAGCCUGGACACAGGUGCUGCAUGGCUGUCGUCAGCUCGUGUCGUGAGAUGUUGGGUUAAGUCCCGCAACGAGCGCAACCCUUGUCGUUAAUUGCCAUCAUUAAGUUGGGCACUUUAGCGAGACUGCCGGUGACAAACCGGAGGAAGGUGGGGAUGACGUCAAGUCCUCAUGGCCCUUAUGGGUAGGGCUUCACACGUCAUACAAUGGUCGGUACAGAGGGCUGCCAACCCGCGAGGGGGAGCCAAUCCCAGAAAACCGGUCGUAGUCCGGAUCGCAGUCUGCAACUCGACUGCGUGAAGUCGGAAUCGCUAGUAAUCGCGGAUCAGCUUGCCGCGGUGAAUACGUUCCCGGGUCUUGUACACACCGCCCGUCACACCAUGGGAGCGGGUUCUGCCAGAAGUAGUUAGCCUAACCGCAAGGAGGGCGAUUACCACGGCGGGGUUCGUGACUGGGGUG
rnacentral:rRNA from 1 species